rnacentral:rRNA from 1 species
GGAAUCUUGCACAAUGGGCGAAAGCCUGAUGCAGCCAUGCCGCGUGAAUGAUGAAGGCCUUAGGGUUUUAAAAUUCUUUCGUCAGGUAUGAUAAUGACCGUACCUGCCGAAGAAGCCCCGGCUAACUUCGUGCCAGCAGCCGCGGUAAUACGAAGGGGGCUAGCGUUGUUCGGAAUUACUGGGCGUAAAGCGCACGUAGGCGGAUUUUUAAGUCAGGUGUGAAAUCCCGGGGCUCAACCUCGGAACUGCAUUUGAAACUGGAAGUCUUGAGACCAGGAGAGGUUAGCGGAAUACCGAGUGUAGAGGUGAAAUUCGUAGAUAUUCGGUGGAACACCAGUGGCGAAGGCGGCUAACUGGACUGGUACUGACGCUGAGGUGCGAAAGUGUGGGGAGCAAAC